CGUAGGAGCGGUUUCAGACUUCUAUUCUGUACGGUCAAGUUGAGCUUGCUGACUGCAUUAGUACUAUAUAAAAAGGUAAAUGUUUGUGGCCGGGGCACCGGCCGAACCGUUGCGCCGGUCUCCAAAACAACAGCACGUGGCUAGUGAGCCCCACGCACCGUCCAGCUCUCCUUAUCUCUUCGCAGGCUCAUCCCCAUCCACAUCCUUCGCACAUCUCCCUCCCCACCCGCUACCAAGGAGCGGCGCUCGUCGCCAUGGCCGCCGCAGCUGGAUCCACUCGUCGCCAGGCCGCCGGCAGCUGGGAUCCAUCCACAUCCUGCUGCAAUAAGGGAGCAGCGCUCGUCCUCGUCCCCAUCCACAUCCUACCGCAUCUCCUUCCCCAUCUCCCGCCGCGGCCAAGUUGCAAUCGACCACGCCGGCGAUGAACUUGCGCUGGAACAGCUGGUGGAUGUGCUACAAGGUCGACACCUUGCCCGGAGGAAGCUGCCUCCAGCGGCGAGGAGGGGCACCAGCAGCUGCCGGCGGCGAAGACGGUGGCGACUCGAACAUGCUACAACCGGCAAAUCAUGAGCUACAACCAGCAUUUAUUCUUGCUACAACCAGUGUCUUUUUUUGCUGGAACCGGAAACAAUUUUUGCUAUCAUCUGUUUUGAUUUGCUAGAUCAGACCAAGUUUUGCUACUACCGUAUUUUAAUUUUGCUGGAAGUAGCCUGGUUUUUUGCUACAACCGUCUUCUGAUUUUGCAACGGCGGCCAUUUUCUGCGACCGGCGACGGCGACGGUGGCCAUUUUUGCUACAACCGUGUCAAAUUUUUGCUACUACCGUCUGUGUUUUUGCUACAUCCAUUCAUGUUUGUUGCAACAACCUUGUUUUACGACAUUUUUGUUGCAACAACCUUGUUUUUUGCUACUACUGGAGACGUGUUUUUGCUACAUCCAUUCACGAGGCCAUGGUGCUUCAAGCGCGGCGGCGAGUUCCGGCGGCGUUUUUGCUACAACUGUCUGAAUUUUUGCUACGUCCAUUCACGGAUCAGCUGCAACCGCGGCGAGUGUUGCAUGUGCCAAUGGCCGGCGGCGGCGGAGUUGCGACGGCUUCGUCGCCCAGUUGCGGCCGACGGCGGAGGUGGCUAGCUGCCAUCCGUGGCGAGGCUGGUGCGGCGAGGUGCAGGCUGUUGCGAGGUCAACGACCAGCGGGGGCGUCCCGCGGUGCGGUGCGGCGAGGGGGCGGCUGCGGUGGGGAGAUUUUUCUCGAAGGAAUCUCACGCAGAUCUGACGGCCCUGGCUGGCGCAUCGGACGGCUGGUGCUGGACCGGCCCAACGGUUGGGCCGGCGCACCGGCGCAGAUCAGCGCCCAUAUAAAAAUGGUUUUCAGGAAAGCUGCACUUUGUGAACUAUCCAAGUUUCAAGGAAAAGGAUGAAGAGGGUGUUGGUGGCCGAAAGGAAGGAGGAUAAGUUGACUUGGUUGUACGAGAUCAAGAUGAUGGAGGAGGAGAGGAGGAAGGCAAAAGUGGUGAUCGAGGAGAGGAAGGUGCAAGCGGAAGAAAGAAGACUUCCAAUUGAGUAGCAAAGGUUUGCAAUGGAGGCCGAGGAAAGAGCAAACAAGAGGCACAUUCAGGAGCACUGCCUUGCAUUGGAGGCCCAGGAACACAAGAACAAGAGAUCAGUCGAGGAGUGUGCUAUCAUGUUCAUGGACCCAAGCAAUAUGGACGAGAGGGUGAUUCGUGUAGAUCUUGGCUAAGUCGUUUGGUGGUGGUGUCGGUAAUGAUGGUGGUGGUGAUGCUCACAGUGAUGGCAUGUGUGUGGUUCACUUGUGAUUGAUGUUGGUUGUUGAUCCACCACGUGCUUGGUGGUUUUUUGGAACGAACUUGUUGAAUUUGAUGCCUUUUGGCUCAAACAUGAUUAUGCUGUAGUUGUUUGUUGGAUUGGAUGA